rnacentral:tRNA from 1 species
GCGACGGGGCAGACCGGCUCGCAGGGCGCGUGCUCGCAAUGCAUGCAGGGCACGGGCUGGAACCCGGCCCGCGGUGACUCGGGUCUGCCCUCGUCGUA